AUGGGGAUUUAUCUAUUAUUGUUUUAUUUUCAAAAGAAUAUGUGUGAAAGUGAGGGGUUUGGUUUUUGUUAUGGUGUUCGCCAAGGAUUAUGGCCCUUGUGCCUAUGUAUCACUCAUUCGGGGAUGAGGAAUCAAAGCUCCGUAGUUCUGAAUAGAAAAUAUUUGUGUGUUAGUUGAUUUUAACUUUGAGAAAAGGGUUUUAGGAGUGGUGCCCUAAGGCACAAAAAAUUAGGUUUGAUGGGUUAUGUUGAUUUUACCUUAAACAAGGGUUUAUGAAAAGACUUUGUGAUUAGAUUGUGCUAAAUUCUAUGGGCGGAGGUGAAUAUUCUAGACAAUAAGCCAAGCGUCUUGCAUCCUGUAACACCCCAAAAAAUUUUCCCUCCUCAUUCAUGCAUUCAGUUUUAGGUCAUUUAACAUUUCAUAUUGCAUUUCAUCAUGUCAAUCAGAAUCAGAUCCAAAAAAAAACUUUAUUUAAAAAAUAAAAAAAAAAGAAAAAAAAAGAUAAAAAAGAAAAAAAAAUUAAUUAAUUAAAUAAAUAAAUAUAUAAAUAAAUAAAAGAAAA
rnacentral:lncRNA from 1 species